AGUCCGGGCGGCAGGGCGAGUUUACAACAACUGACAGUAACUAUAACAUACGCCAGUUUGUAUUAAGAUGUUAUUGUACCUUUCCAGUUCUAAUCACCAAUUAUGACUCUAUUACUCCUACUUGGCAGUUCAUCUGCUCCUGCCUCCGCUAAGGGCGACUUGGAGACGGACCUCUGAUCUCCUGGUUCCACCUCAGUGGGCGCUCAGCACGGCGGCUGUCAUCCGCAGACACUGAAGAGAUCUCAAGUCCCAGCUACACACAUAUUUGGCUCGUGUGGAUGGUCUUCUCAAUCCGGAACUCCCCAUCUUCCCCAAAUACACUCCUAUUUACCACCCCUCCGUCCCCAACUUCUGGCCUUCCUCAUCAGUUCCUCAUCUGGGCCUCAGGCCACUCAUCUCAGAGGGAAGGACCGGAACCAUCCUCGCCGCAUGCCGCUAUCCUAUUCCUGACCACACGUUCCCCAACAACGGAGGGGCAGAUCGGCUCCUUGGGCAACAGUACCAGGCUCCAUCCAUGGCGCCCAUCCCAGGAACAACACUCAGCCCUGGGGUCAGGGCUGGAGCCUGCGAAAGCCCUGGGGGGCCCUGGAGUGCAUCCCAGGGAAGCAGCGAGAUGCAGUGGGGGAGGGCACGCAUGUCAGCUCUGUCAUGCUCAGCUCUGUCCCUUGCGAGCUGCGCGAUGCAGGCAAGGCCUCGAUUUCCUCAUCUCUAAAAUGGGCAUCAUAAUGUACA